rnacentral:rRNA from 1 species
GACGAACGCUGGUGGCGUGCUUAACACAUGCAAGUCGAACGAGAAUCUACUGAAAGAGUUUUCGGACAAUGGAAGUAGAGGAAAGUGGCGGACGGGUGAGUAACGCGUGAGGAACCUGCCUUGAAGAGGGGGACAACAGUUGGAAACGACUGCUAAUACCGCAUGAAGCAUAGGGGUCGCAUGAUUCUUAUGCCAAAGAUUUAUCGCUUCAAGAUGGCCUCGCGUCUGAUUAGCUGGUUGGCGGGGUAACGGCCCACCAAGGCGACGAUCAGUAGCCGGACUGAGAGGUUGAACGGCCACAUUGGGACUGAGAUACGGCCCAGACUCCUACGGGAGGCAGCAGUGGGGAAUAUUGGGCAAUGGGCGCAAGCCUGACCCAGCAACGCCGCGUGAAGGAAGAAGGCUUUCGGGUUGUAAACUUCUUUUAAGAGGGAAGAGCAGAAGACGGUACCUCUAGAAUAAGCCACGGCUAACUACGUG